GACGAACCGUGCGACCGUUAUUCGGAAUCACUGGGCUUAAAGCGCACGUAGGCGGAUCGUUAAGUCGGGGGUGAAAUCCUGGAGCUCAACUCCAGAACUGCCUUCGAUACUGGCGAUCUCGAGUCCGGAAGAGGUGAGUGGAACUCCUAGUGUAGAGGUGGAAUUCGUAGAUAUUAGGAAGAACACCAGUGGCGAAGGCGGCUCACUGGUCCGGUACUGACGCUGAGGUGCGAAAGCGUGGGGAGCAAACAGG
rnacentral:rRNA from 1 species